CGGCCGCGCUGCAGGGCCGGGCUGGGCGGGAAGGGCGCGCUGUCCCCGCGGUCCGCGGGGCCGGCGGGGCGGGCGCUGCCCGCCGCAGAGCGGAGCACCCCGCAGUGCCCUGCCCUGCACUACAGUACCCAUCAGGCCGCGGCCCCGCCAGUCCCGCCCCCGGCCGUCCCGGCGCAUGACUGGCUGUUCCCCCGCCGGCGGCGGGCGCUGCGCUCCUUCCACGGGCCCGCGGACCUGUCCCUCAGCGCGGGGUGUGAGGGGCGGCGGCAGCGCGGGCGCGGUGCCGGCGGGUCCGGAGGCGGUGCUGACAGGACGGCCCGCGGAGGCGCUGCGGGCCGCGGCUGCCGCCCCUGGCCCGGCCCGGCCCUGCCCUGCCCUGCCCGGCUGCGCUGAGGCCGGCCCGGCCCGAGGAAGAAGUUUUAACCAUCUUCCCAUGGCAUCUGACUUUUUUGAAGAGGAGGACUUUUCAGCAAGGGAAAUAAGAAGUUUGUUUCAAGGCUCUUGAGUCGUUCAUCAGUUCUGUUAACAAGCGUGGGGCUUGAGGAUACGUUUGCUGCUUCUCUGCAUUUUUGCUGAAGGUGCUGCAGCAUGAUGGGAGCUCCUGGAGCUGGAAUCUGGCUUCCACUGUGGGUGUUAGAGGAAGGACCUUGCUGUUUUGCAGCUCCUGUGGGCAUUAAGUUUCAUUUCUUCCUCUUGGGAAGAGGACAGCUCUGUAGAGCAUAAGUUUCAAAAGUAAUUUUAAAGAUUGCACCCAAGGGAGAAGCAGUGGGAUCCACAGUGGGAAAAAUGAACCCAGCAGUCCAUCAUAUUCUGUACCUGCCUGAAUAUGGGAAGAGACCUAGUACAAAGCCAGAAUGCAGCUGGACUUGCAGUCUUCUUAACCAUAUUAAGUCCUGUUCAGAGUUAAUGAUGAGAUAGUCUCAGCAAUGCUGAAGAAGGGAAGGACAGAAUUGGAAGGCAGGAGCUAUUUCAAAGCAGGAUUCUUCAUCGUACUGUAAUUCCCAAACAUGAAGACUUUAUAAACUUCAUUAGAUCCUGCCAUCAAUGACUGAGCCUCCCUGAAAUCUUCUUAUCAGUUACUGCCAAGAUGAGAAGGAUAACAGGAAGGAGGAGUGCUUAAGUGGCUUUAAUGACAGUUAAUUUCAUCUGUUUAUCAAAUGACAGGUUGUUUUUUCCUCAAAACUCGAUUGUCAUGACAAAAUGCUUUUGGAAGUCAUCUUUGUAAAAUAAAACUGACAACUUUUAGGCUACAAAGGGCUAUUAUACCUUUCUAUAGAAUGUUGUCAUUAUGGUAAACUACUGGAAAGUCUGUUUUUGAAGUAAUUUAACUUGCAUACUUCAUUCAUUUAUUUGAAUGUCUGUUGAAUGCCAUGUGAAAAGUUUCUUGCCAGAGUUCUUUUAUUCAAUGCAAUAGUUAUUGUUAUGAUGCUAAAUUUAUUAUUGUAUAAAUUACUGUUGCCCUAGCCUCCUGCAAAAAUGUUUCUUUUUAGUAAUCCUUAAACAAGUAAGAAAUGAAUGAGGUUUUGUCCCCUUUGUGUUAUGAUCAACAUAUUUUGCCUUUCAGUGUCUUCAGUUUUUGGAGUGACACAACACAAACAAAGAUGGUUUGGGUUUUGGGUUUUUUUCCCCAACAGCACAUGUCUUUUGUGCAAUGAUUUUUUAAUAUAUACACUGCCAAGAUACAAUUACUGGAAAGAGAGAGGGAAGCUGUUGGGAAUGUCAUGUUAUGCCAAAUUAAGAAUUAUUAGCUCUUACUUUCUGUGCAAUCUCUUCGACUAGAACUCGACCUAUUGCGUCUGGCGUAUACUUUGACUCUAGUGGAACUAAUGUGUCCUUGGAGUAGCAUUUCAGAGUAACUUCAGAUUCAUGUUUUUUUCACAAGUCUGCUUUAAACUGCUGGGAUUAACUUCAGAGAAGGCGAGAGAUACAGCUCCUUUGUCAGCAGCUGUGCUGGUUAAAGGAGGAGGCUUCAUGCACGCUUGCUCGCUCGUUCUCUCACUGCCAGGGAAGCAAACUGAACUGUUUCCCUGAGCACACCCAGACUGACUUCAGCCAAAGUUAAUCAUGUUAUCAAAUAUUCGUUAUCCAGCGCCCUGGGUCACUCUGAUGAAAGGACAGGGCAUGCACAGAGCAGCUGUGCAGACGUCAUGUCUGGGAAGGGUGGUGUGUUGACAAGAGUGUUGCUGAGGGCUGGCCCUGGUGUGUUGCCUUUUCAGCAGGUGCAGUUACAUCUCUCGGAUGUGGUAAAAAUUGAAUGUAUUAGAAAGCUGUGCAGAUCUGUCAUGCAUAAUAUUCACAUUCAAGGGACAUCCUGGAUAAUGCAAAGUAAACCUGUGCUCUUUGACUCACUCCUUGUGUGUGCCAGUAUGAGGGGAGAGGACUGGUGUGAGCAUGUGUACAUGGCAGACACCUAUUUCAGGAAGCUGUAUCUGGUCAAGGUGUGGGAACGGUACAAGUGUUUCCAUGAUCUAGAGAACACACUUUUUACUUUACUCAUCAAAGAGGCUGCCUCAGCUGACACAUGCCUCAGGAGAACUGCUUUUGACACAUGAGCUGCCUUGAGUGAAGAAGGGUGAACAUCUUCAGCAGGAGUGGCUGCUGUUGUUUCUCUGCAGUAGAUGCUGGAGUCUGGUGAGGCAUCCAAGCUCUUGGUAUUCCCCAUGCCAAAAUUAGAAUGGUGUGGAUAAUCUUUAGAACUCAGAGACAUAAUGAGUAAAAGCAGUGCAUUGAACAGCUCCUUCAACACUGACCUUCUUGUGCAAAGGCUGUGGAGUGUAAGUGCCUUCCUAGAGCUGGCUUGGGCAUACAAAGAGCAAGAGGCUUUCUGAUCUGUCAGAAACCUGAGAGCAGCAACACUGCUUGCAUCUCCUCUCGGGGCACUGCCAGGUGAAAAGAGCACAGUCACGGAAAGGACUGAGCCUCCAGCUGGGUUUGGGUGUUACCCAUUAUCUUUUAUUUGUCCUUAAGGUAAAGGAUGAGGAAUAUGCAGAGGCCAUACUGUACAUAUGGAAGGAAGGAAAAUAACGUGCCAGGUGUGUAAGGAAGGGGCAGGGGUGGCUCCAGGUGUGAGAGCUGUGCCCUGUUCCAGCUGCCCAGGGUUGAGCCGUGACUGAGCUCUCAGUGCUGGGUUCAGGAGAGAUGUGCCUCCCCCAGACGACUGUCCCAUGUCUCCCCUGCCCAUGGACUAAGUGCAAAUGAGCCUCCACAGCUCUCUGAGACAGCCCAAAACUCAUAUUACUCCUUUUAUAACUCCUUAAAAUACACUAUUGUAGUACCAAGACUGAAAUGUUUAAUGAAAUGCUUGUGAUUGCCUAGGAAUCUAUUUACCUGCCUAAGUGAUAAUACACAGUUAAACCAGUACUGCAAAAUAACAUCUUACAUACAGCACUGUCAUGGAUGUAAAGCUGAUGAGUAAAGUUUUACAUCCAAGCACUUAAAACAAUCAAAUACUGUAGUUAAACUGCCAUACUGUUUGUGUAGGGCUAAAAAGGCAACAAAUAAAACUUCAGGGAAGGCAGAUUUUCUUCUUAUAAAUAUUCCAAAUAAUAGGCUGGUUUCAAGUAGACUUCCUGACUCUUUGGUGAUUGCUGCAU